CUUCUAUACCCUUUUACAGCACAAAGAAGUUAGGUCGAGUUGAAAGUUAAAUGCCUUUUCAAGAACAUGCCACACACUGAAACACCAUCAAAGGCCUGUUUCUACUGAACUAGAGCCACCUCCAUCUCUCCACAUUCACGGUCCCCUCAGCAUGGCCCCAGGCAUCUUUCGAGGCUCCUUGGCACAUGCCCACUAUGUCCUAUGACUCUAUCCCCUGAUCUACUUAUCAGUCAUUCAUUCACUCAACGAACAUUUCUGAGUGCCUACUAUGUGCCAUGCAAAACACCCGGCACUUUCCUUGUCCUAGUCCCUCUGUAGAACCCUCUCUCUUACCUGCCUCUUUGUCUUCUUGCCCCUAACUCCUAAACCCCAACACAACACACACACAGUUCUCCCCCAAACCUGAAAUCCUAUCUAUCUCCAAAACCCAUUUCAAAUAUUGCUUCUUUCCACUAAUCUUUUCUGAUACCUCCCAAACCAAAUGUGAGCCCUCUCUCCUUUCCAAUUACUUCAUAUUUCUCUUUUGAAGCAUAUAUUAUAUAAUCCAGCCUAUUUUUACUUAUUUUGCCCCACCUCAUUUGUUUAAAAACUUCUUGAGAGUGGGGAGUGGGAGAGCAUUAAUUAUGCAAUACCUCUUAAGUGCCUAGAGUAGCACCUUGCUUUAUAUGUAAGUGCUGUAUAAAACUGUGCUAAAUUAAUUUUUAUUUACUUAACUCAUGCUGCCUGAUGAUGACAUCAAAAGCUAUGCCCAAAGACCAAACUGAGACUUAGAAGUUGUCCAUUGUGUCCGAAGCACUUAUACAGCCCUAUUAAGUAGGUUGCUAUUAAAAAUAUUUUGGGAAAAGCACAGGAAAUGAUGUCAUCUGUCAAGCAGCAUAGGAACUCAGCCUUCAAACUGAUUUCAAUUAAAGCAGUUCAUGCCAAGAGCUAAUUUCCAUUCCCACAUGAGCAACAAAGCCAUUUAACUACUUUGAGAUAAAAAAGCUAACAGUAGUUUAGUGACUUUACAUCACUUGCUUUGCCACCGUGUUAACCAUGGGAAACUUUGUAUUCGUUGUGAGUCUUAGAUCUUUAGUGGGGAAUAAAGCAUUCCGAUAAAGGUGGGAGCAGUCGCUCAGGAUUUCUGUGGGGAAGUGAAAGAACUAGAUACGCAGUUUCACUGUACAUGCAGGAAAUAGUUUACAGAGAAUAUAUACCCAAAUGGGUUUUAUUUUGGAUUCAGUCCUGCCAUUG
rnacentral:lncRNA from 1 species